UGUUCUUUAGAGAUUUUCUCUUUAAGUUCAUCCUCCCACUGUUUUCAAGAAAACAGUAUGAUUGCUCACGAUCAUAUUGUGAACCACUGAGAAGAGAAAGUGAUAUCCCAAAUCCUUUUGGGAUACUCCAUAAACGAGCUCUCACAAACCUAUCCUCUAAUUUGUCCACCAUAUCAUAUCUCAUAUGGUGUGGUGAAACCAACUUUAGAAGAAAUCUAAUUUAAAUUUCAAAAAUUAAAUCUUGUUCUUAAAGAAAUAAUAAUUGAAUUAGUGAUAUUCAUGACGGAUCAGACCAUAUCACAUACAAUGCCAUUGAUCCUCAUAGAUACACCAUUGAGUUGAGGUGUAUAAGGAGAAUUCUAUUAUGAAACUAUACCAUUCUCUUUAGAUAAUCAACAACUUCUCUAUUUGGUAUUGCAUCCUCGAUC
rnacentral:lncRNA from 1 species